rnacentral:misc_RNA from 1 species
AACGCAUAUUGCACUUUCUGGUAUUCCGGAAAGUAUGCCUGUUUGAGGGUCAGUUUAAUAAAAAUCGGUGUUAUUGCUACCCGUAGUGGUAGUUAAUGCAUCGGAAUUGAGUUGUCUUUACCUUUUUUGGUUUAAGUGACUUAAAAUUAUGUACGAUUUUUGAACGUAUUUAAAUUAUUUACGUAUGUUCAUUAUAUCAAAUAUUAGGUGCGGUCAUCCUCAUGAUUUCGCGUCUAUAAUUUUUCAUUAUUUGACCUCAAAUCAGGUAAGAGUACCCGCUGAACUUAA